rnacentral:tRNA from 4 species
GGAGAGGUCGCAUAGUGGCCUAGUGCGCCCGCCUCGAAAGCGGGUACCCGGCGAAGAGCUGGGUCGCGGGUUCGAAUCCCGCCCUCUCCGCCA